rnacentral:lncRNA from 1 species
CGGUCACGUCCAUUCUGUGUAUAAUCAUUUGUAAAAGUCUUAUAAAAUUUUAUUUAUUUUUAAUAGUAUUUGAGAACUGGUCAAUGAUAAAGCUAUGAAAAAUCAAGAGAGAACAUUUUACCGCCAAAUUUCCAAUGGCUUAUAUCUCGAAAACAAGCACAUUGACCCCUAUAUAUUUUUUUUUUUGCUUUUUUGAUUCCUCAAUUUAUUC